UAGGGAAUAUUGGUUAAUGUGCGAAAGCGCGAACCAGCAACGCCGCGUGUGCGAUGAAGGCCUUCGGGUCGUAAAGCACUUUUUGCAGGGACGAGGAAGGACGGUACCUGCAGAAUAAGUCUCGGCUAACUACGUGCCAGCAGCCGCGGUAAAACGUAGGAGACGAGCGUUAUCCGGAUUUACUGGGCGUAAAGCGCGUGCAGGCGGCAUGGCAAGUUGGAUGUGAAAGCUCCCGGCUUAACUGGGAGAGGUCGUUCAAUACUGCCAAGCUUGAGAGUGGUAGAGGGAAGCGGAAUUCCGGGUGUAGUGGUGAAAUGCGUAGAUAUCCGGAGGAACACCAGUGGCGAAAGCGGCUUCCUGGCCCAUUUCUGACGCUCAGACGCGAAAGCUAGGGUAGCAAACGG
rnacentral:rRNA from 1 species